rnacentral:tmRNA from 1 species
GGGGGUGUCAGGCUUUGACGGAUUACAUACUGUCCCACGUAUGCGUGAUGAAGGGAGACCUUCUCAAACAUCAAUCGUUGCAAACACUAUUGCACGGCUCUUCAAUAGAGCUCCUUCUCCGGCAUUCGCGUAACAGCGACCCGGGGAACAUCCGGCUGGCGAUUCUCGCUACCUAGUCCGGGUGUAAGAUGAGCGGGAAGUCAGGCAUGUCCGUAUCCGCUUCGGAUAUGCCGUCGCAUACAAGCGGAACUUUGGUUCGCACGAACCUAUCGUGCUAGGUCACGUACACAUACGGGCGACACGUAGUCUGGACGAGGGUUCAAUUCCCUCCACCUCCACCG